rnacentral:rRNA from 1 species
AGAGAGAGACAUGCGCGCAUAUCAAUAAGCGGAGGAAAAGAAACUAACAAGGAUUCCCUUAGUAACGGCGAGUGAAGCGGGAAGAGCUCAAGUUUGAAAUCUUCAAGGUUUUACCUUGACGAAUUGUAGUUUAAAGAAGUGUUUUCUGUUGAAGUUUUGGUAAAAGUUCUUUGGAAUAGGACAUCAUAGAGGGUGAGAAUCCCGUAUUUGACCAUUAUUUCCAGCUUUGUGAUACACUUUCAAAGAGUCGGAUUGUUUGGGAAUGCAGUCCAAAAUGGGUGGUAAAUUUCAUCUAAAGCUAAAUAUUGGCGAGAGACCGAUAGCGAACAAGUACCGUGAGGGAAAGAUGAAAAGAACUUUGAAAAGAGAGUUAAACAGUACGUGAAAUUGUCAAAAGGGAAGCGUUUGACACCAGUGUUGUUUUCUCGAAAAUCAAUUAAAAAAGGCAGGAUUUUGUGUUGUAUUGACUUUAUCAGCUUUCUGCACUCUUUUCUUGUCUUUUUUAAUGCACUUUUCGUUUAACAAGUCAACAUCAAUUUCUUUUGUUGUAAAAGGGUCAUUGGAAGGUGGCUUUCUUUUCGGAGAAAGUGUUUAUAGCCUUUGGCCUCUGCAAUCGGAGAGAUUGAGGUCUGCAGCGUAGAUCCUUCGGGGUUAGAUACAUUUGUGCUAAGUUAUAGCCUUUCAUAGACAACUUGUUGACUAUGAUCAGUCAUGUAGCUUACUCGCUUAUGCUAUUUUACCUACGCUUAGGAUGUUGAUGUGAUACUGCGAGC